CGCAGCGUGCUACGGUUCACUCAUUACGUAACAAUGGCGGGAAAUUUCGUGUCAUCUGCGAAAUAAAUUUAACUAUCGAAAACCUAACCAAUUAUUAAUUAGGCCAACCCAAACCCGAAAAAUGGAAGUUAAUAGAGUUGGUUAGGGAGAAGGAUUGUUUGUGGGCGGUUGAUUACCGGAACAAAAUUUUGAAGGAAAAAGCGUGGAUAGAGGUUGGCGAGGAAAUGGGAAUAGGGGUGAAAGAAUGCAAGACAAGGUGGAGGUCGUUGAAAGAUAGGUUCAGGAGAGAGAAGGCGUUUGAGAGUAGGAGUGGGGGUGGAUGUAAAAAAAUGGGAGUUUAUGGGUAGCUUAGAGUUUUUAAACUCGUACUGCGAAAGCAGGAGGUGGGGAAAACAUUUUUACUCUACCCAUACCGUACGUCAUUACCACAAAAGCCCUAUUUUGAUUUUUACAAAGACUGAAUAAAACUUCAUAAAAUAUUUCACGUCAUACACUCCACUAUACAAAGACUGAAUAAAACUUCAUAAAAUAUUUCACGUCAUACACUCCACUAAGUAUACUGAUAUGUCAAUAAAAUGACACUUUCAUAGAAAACAAAACUCUUUUAUUUGAAACAAUGUAUAACAAUAAACUGAAAACUUGCUUUUCCCAUCCUGUAAUCAUCAUUGACCUGUGAAAAACAAAGAUGCCUUACUAAGUAAUGAGUAUGAGGUAACAUAUGGCCCCUGCUUAAUUUUAGAACAUCUAGCAGUGUGCCUGAAGAUGUCACCCUCGUUGUAUAUGAAAAGACGGGGAAGAGUCUUCUUCCAGCUUGGAUAUCGAUCAGGCCAUUUUACGCCUAGUUAAUAAAGAACAAGAUGAUGCUGAAAUAUUUGCCCAAUCGCUUGUGCAGACAUUUAGACGGUUGCCAAAUAAAAAAUUUCAGCAUGCAUAGAUUGAAAUUCAAGAAGUUUUGUUUCAUCU